GGGGGGCGAUGGGAGAAGGGGAGAGAGAGGAAAGGGGGGAGAGAGAGGGAUGGGAGAAGGGGAAAGACAGGAAAGGGGGAGAGAGGGCGAUGAGAGAUAGAGAGAGAGGGAAGGGGGGAGAGAAAGGGAUGGGAGAAGGAGAGAGAGGGAAGAUGGACAAAUAAAAUGACAGGAAAUACUCAACGUGUUUAACCUUUUUUGUUGCAGAAUGGCACUGAGGAAACUGUUAGACUCACGGCCAGCCUCCCCCUACGUGAAGCUCCCGCCGCUCCAAAUAAUUUUUUUAAAAAUUGAGGACUCCCCAAAAGUGGUGGCCUGGAAUUUCGAGGAGUCAACUGCAAGCCCAACCUGCGUUAAAAACAACAAGACAGCAAUAAUUAGUGAUGGGGAUUCCCUCACUAAAAUCACACUUUUCGAAGCUCUGGCAGGGAGAGUGGAAGAGGGGGGGACAUAUUUUAUGAGGGGCUACACCCUGUUUGGCAAGUCCCCUCCUUUCACCAUCAAUGUAGGGAGUGGUACUCAAUUUUUCCAGGGCAGCAAGAUCGACUGCCCCGGAGAACUCCAUACAAGAGCCGAGGCCCUGCUGCACCCUAGCUCGCCUCUGGUGGAACUCCAUCAUUGCUGGGCGCAGCAGGGCCUGAUGUCCUUAGAGGGAGUGAUCGCUGAGGUCAGUAUGAGCUCCUAUAGUACAGCCAUGGAUCUGGGAAAUUAAAAACAUCACAAAUAACAAAGAAAAAAAGAUUGCAUUUUCAAGUAUACAAAGUACUAAUACAGAAUUUCCUUCUGUUUAGCUGUCUGCAGUGAGAAAAGCGCAGUCUGGGAAAGAGCCUGUGCCAGUCAGGAAAAUUGUCCUGAAGCAGGUAACUGCAGCUGUGAAAAUUUUUGGUACACUUCUGUUCUAGAAAGAAAAAGUCAUAUAAGUCACUAAAAGAACCUGAAAAUGAGAAAAGUAAUAGUGAAUAAAAAAUCAAUAAAAAUGUCUGUGUAUAUACGGUAUCUCACAAGAGUGAGUAGACCCCUCACUUUUCUGCAAAUAUUUAAUUAGAUCUUUUAAUGGGAUAUAACUACAGAAAUGACACUUUGAUACCAUGUAUAGUUGUCAGUGUACAGCUUGUGUAACUGUAAAAUUACUGUGCCCUCAAAAUAACUCAACAAAGAGCCAUUAAUGUGUACACCCCUGGCAACAAAAGUCUGAGCACUGACAGGCUAACCCCCCACCCCUUCAACUCCUGCAGCAAUGCUAGCAGCACUCAAACAUCUAUUUUCCGAAGACAACUUCUGGAUAUGACGCUGAGCACAUGCACUCAACCUCUUAGGUCGACCAUGGUGAGGUUCUGGGUGGUUCCUGUCCCAUUUAACAGCUGUGUGGUCUUGGCCACUGUGCUGCAGCUCAGUUUCAGGGUGUUGGCAAUCUUCUUAUAGCCUAGGCCAACUUCAUGUAGAGCCACAAAUUCUGUUUUUAGAUCCUCAGAGAGUUCUUUGCCAUGAGGUGCCAUGAUAAACUUCCAGUGACCAGUAAGAGAGGGUGUAGGACAGAUGACACCAAAUUUAACACAGCUGCACCCCAUUCACACCUGAGAGCUCGUAAUACUAAUAAGUGACAUGACAUAGGGGAGGGAAAAUGGCUAAUUGGGCCCAAUUUGGAUAUUUUCACUGAGUGGUGUACUGACUUUUGUUGCCAGGGGUGUACACAUUAAUGGCUCUGUGUUGAGUUAUUUUGAGGGCACAGUAAUUCUACACUGUUACACAAGCUGUACUCUGACUAAUGUCUGUUGUGUCAAAGUGUCAUCUCUUUAGUUUUGUCCCAUGAAAAUAUAUAACAUUUGCAGAAAUGUGAGGGGUCUACUCGCUUUUGUGAGAUACUGCACACUGUUAACAUUUACAUAAUGUAUGAAUCAUGAUGAAAUAACUCUUGAAUUAAUGCAGAUGUGUCAUUUUGCCUUUUCUUACUUCACACUAAUGAGCCUGUCACUUUGAAGUCACGUGAUUAGUUCACACUCAACAGAUCAUUGAAUGAUGCUUAUUUACAGUCAAUUCAUACAUGCAUUGAUGUGACUACAUCAACUUGAUAUCAAAUUUCCCCUUGAGGAUUCAUAAAGUUUUUCUUAUCUUAUCGUUCUCAUAAAUUAAUGCUUAGUUUAGCAUCAUGCAUUUGCUCAGCCCUUCAGGUUUAAAUGAGACAAGAGCCUGUGGUAAUUUAAGUGUUACAUGUAUUGGGACAACAGGCAAUAAGAUGUUCCCUUAUGUUUUACAGGACACAACUACAAUUAAGGUCUCCCUGUGGAGGGAGGCAGCAGUGGAGCCCCUCAUCGUCGGGGAGACCAUAAAAGUGAC